ACUCCCGGGGCGUGCAGGGCAGGUGAGAGGCCGUGGCGGGGAUGCCCUCUUGGCACCCUGGGCCACACCUCCCGGCGGGAGCCCGGCCCGUGCGCUGAGGCCUGCCCUUACGCCGGCCCGGUGCGCUGGCCUUGCUUUUCACAGUCGAUCUUUGACCGCUGCCUCCCACCCCCACCGUGCGCUGCCCCUCACUGCCCAGCCUCUCCCCGCCCCCAGGUGCUGCUGGAGAGAGAGCUGGCCAAGCUGAGCGCCGAGCUGGACAAGGACCUGCGGGCAAUUGAGACCCGACUGCCGUCCCCCAAGACCCUAGUGCCUCUAACGGAGGGGGCAGCCCAGCCAGGAGGGAAGAGAAGAAGGUAAGGAGGGGACCAGGUGUGGGGGACCUGGAGUGGUCCCAAGGCUGCCAUCCUGGAUCUGCCACCCGCCCAACUGAGAUAGCCCACUCUGUCCUCUCCCCUGCCUAGAGGAAGGCCGCCAGGCUCAAGUUUGACUUCCAGGCGCAGUCCCCCAAGGAGCUGACUCUGCAGAAGGGUGACAUUGUCUACAUCCACAAGGAGGUGGAC
rnacentral:sRNA from 1 species